CAAGAGGCCAGCCUGUGUGCGUGAGCAGCUGUGAAGCAUCUUUGUCUCUUUGCUGCUCUCUCCUUCUCCAUUCACACUCUGCAACACAUCUCUUCCAGCUUCACCAGCCUUCUCCUUAUUUUGAUCUGGGAGAUCCAUACUGUCGCCAUCUGCGCGCAGAAUACAACAGCCUGCAUGACCCAUAUCUGCAGGACUACCACAACCGCAAAGACAACCUGCAGAACCUGAAGAACAGGGGCCUUGUCACCGAGGAUGGCAAAGUUGUCUGCACUCUGAAAGAGUUCAACGAGUACAGGCAGUACCUGACCAGGCUGAAGCUGGAGCGGGA